UGCCGGCACGGCUACCUCCGGCGCCCACGCCGGAGUUGGUAGGUGUAGGUCCCCCUUUUCCCUCCUCCUCUCACCUGCUCGCCGGCGGCGAAUCUGGAAGGAGGCAGGCCUUAGCUCAGGCGACUAGGCGCCGGCUAGAGUAAAUUCUCUCACACAAGCUCCGAAGGUUAACAACUUAGCUACCUCCGACCGCGACGCAAGAAGGUAGCCAAGAAGAAAGAAACAUCAAGUGCUAACUAGUUAAGAAGAUCGGUUGAAGAGGUCUGAAAAGGGCAGUAGCAGACGCCGUUAACGUCUAGCGGCCUCACCGGAGGAGACCGGUAUCUCUCCGGAACGGCAAACGGCGGCGACAGCAGCCGUCAGUACACCGCCUAACUUCGCGGCUUCCCGCGGCGAAGCUGCGCGGGUGUCUCCUCCCGCAGCAGUUGGUACCCCACGGAGUCGGCGGACGUAGCGCGCGACCACGACACGGCGACCUCGCGACAGCUCCGGCUCCCAGGAACACAGGAACCCCGGCCUCCCUCAGCGGCGGUGUCGGCACAUAGUCCGGCUACCAGUCCCUGCUACCUUACCCACGACUUCUUACUUUAGUUAGAAGUCGGUCGCCACUGUUUUAUAAGUUCGCACGUACAACUUCUACCUGGUACCUAGAAUGUUAGCGCAGCAGUUUACCUCUUCGCCAACAACUUUUUACAGCGAUCGGAAUUUGAGCCUCUGCCAUUGUUGGUUCGGGAUAGCUUUCUACUAAAACUUACCCUGAGACUACUACUUUUGUACUAACCGUGACGUCUGAACGGAGGUUGUAGGCUGUUGUUGAGAGGAGUAAUACUGACAGAACCUAAAGUAGGAAUGUUUCUUUAGCGGAACAAAACAACCAGGUUAUUUUAACAUCGUACGGUAAAUUUAUCGAGGUUCUAAGCUAUAAAUCCGUUCCGCCGUGUGUAUGGACGGGUCAACGAUCACCGAACGUGUAUGCGGGGUACAACCUACUCCCUGAAUGGACCUUCGUGAACU
rnacentral:rRNA from 1 species